rnacentral:rRNA from 1 species
UACGAAGGGGGCUAGCGUUGUUCGGAUUUACUGGGCGUAAAGCGCACGUAGGCGGAUUUUUAAGUCAGGGGUGAAAUCCCAGGGCUCAACCCCGGAACUGCCUUUGAUACUGGAAGUCUUGAGUAUGGUAGAGGUGAGUGGAAUUCCGAGUGUAGAGGUGAAAUUCGUAGAUAUUCGGAGGAACACCAGUGGCGAAGGCGGCUCACUGGACUGGUAUUGACGCUGAGGUGCGAAAGCGUGGGGAGCAAACAGG